CACUGCCGAGAAAAGCCUCUAGAUAGAAAAUAGGUGCCCGUACCGCAAACCGACACAGGUAGUCAAGAUGAGAAUUCUAAGGUGAGCGAGCGAACUCUCGUUAAGGAACUCGGCAAAAUGACCCCGUAACUUCGGGAGAAGGGGUGCUCUUUAGGGUUAACGCCCAGAAGAGCCGCAGUGAAUAGGCCCAAGCGACUGUUUAUCAAAAACACAGGUCUCUGCUAAACCGUAAGGUGAUGUAUAGGGGCUGACGCCUGCCCGGUGCUGGAAGGUUAAGAGGAGUGGUUAGCUUCUGCGAAGCUACGAAUCGAAGCCCCAGUAAACGGCGGCCGUAACUAUAACGGUCCUAAGGUAGCGAAAUUCCUUGUCGGGUAAGUUCCGACCCGCACGAAAGGCGUAACGAUUUGGGCACUGUCUCAACGAGAGACUCGGUGAAAUCAUAGUACCUGUGAAGAUGCAGGUUACCCGCGACAGGACGGAAAGACCCCGUGGAGCUUUACUGUAGCCUGAUAUUGAAAUUCGGCACAGCUUGUACAGGAUAGGUAGGAGCCUUUGAAACGUGAGCGCUAGCUUACGUGGAGGCGCUGGUGGGAUACUACCCUAGCUGUGUUGGCUUUCUAACCCGCACCACUUAUCGUGGUGGGAGACAGUGUCAGGCGGGCAGUUUGACUGGGGCGGUCGCCUCCUAAAAGGUAACGGAGGCGCUCAAAGGUUCCCUCAGAAUGGUUGGAAAUCAUUCAUAGAGUGUAAAGGCAUAAGGGAGCUUGACUGCGAGACCUACAAGUCGAGCAGGGUCGAAAGACGGACUUAGUGAUCCGGUGGUUCCGCAUGGAAGGGCCAUCGCUCAACGGAUAAAAGCUACCCCGGGGAUAACAGGCUUAUCUCCCCCAAGAGUUCACAUCGACGGGGAGGUUUGGCACCUCGAUGUCGGCUCAUCGCAUCCUGGGGCUGUAGUCGGUCCCAAGGGUUGGGCUGUUCGCCCAUUAAAGCGGUACGCGAGCUGGGUUCAGAACGUCGUGAGACAGUUCGGUCCCUAUCCGUCGUGGGCGUAGGAAAUUUGAGAGGAGCUGUCCUUAGUACGAGAGGACCGGGAUGGACAUACCUCUGGUGUACCAGUUGUCGUGCCAACGGCAUAGCUGGGUAGCUAUGUGUGGACGGGAUAAGUGCUGAAAGCAUCUAAGCAUGAAGCCCCCCUCAAGAUGAGAUUUCCCAACUUCGGUUAUAAGAUCCCUCAAAGAUG
rnacentral:rRNA from 1 species